rnacentral:lncRNA from 1 species
CCCCACCCAGCUCAGGUCCCCUAAGAUCUCCAGCCAGGACCCUUCCCCCACAAGCCUCAGCAUGGUCACCCCUUCAGUCACUGCCUCUUAGGGACAGCACAGGGCAUCCCCUUCCCUCCAUUAUCCCACCCAGCUCCUACCCCACAGAGCUCCUACCUCACCCAACCUCCUACCCCACCCUGCUCCUUGUUCCCUAAGAACUAUCCAGCAAGGUUCCUAUCCCAAACAGGACUCAGCAGGAUCGGCGCAUCCAUGAACCUCCUUACAGGGAGAGAGACACACUUUGCCUCUUCUCCAUGCAUUACUUACCCAGCUCUGGUCCCAUGACGCCGCUCCAGCCAGUGCUGCACCCCACAAACUGCUGGACACACUGGUGCCCUCCCUACCUGAGGCUCUCCGCCGGGAUCCACAAUGUCCAACAGGAG